UGGAAUGGACCAAGUAUGUUUCUUUAAAAUAGUCCUUGUCAUUCAAUCCCCCCCCUGUAGACAGAGGUGGCAGAUGAACUGAAUAGCGGUCACUCCCACAAUCUUCUUUAGACAUAUAGCAGAGAAGAAAAUCAUUUCCCCUUCAUAUCUACUUAGCCGGCUCAAGAAUUAAGCAGGAGCAACCAAUCUAACAAAAAUGAAUAAGAAAAAUCUCAACGGUCGCCGCAAUAUAAUGUCCCAUGAUGCUGAUGGUUUGAAAAACUUUUGGGAGAAAAAAAUAGACAAGCAAACAACAGAAUACAAGUGUGAACAUGAGCGGAAAAAUAAAAGUGCCCUUUCAAAACUACGGGAAGAAUGGUCACAGAGGCUGGAAUCAAGGAUCAACAUGCUACAAUCUUUAAAUGAGGACCAAAAGAAGCAGCUUUUUGGGGGAUCAAAGGAAACCCAGCAGCACAAUGCAAAUACUGCAGCAUAAAAUACACAAAUACAAAUCUUGAUUUAUAAAUUAAACCUAUUUGUGCUUGAAAAAUAUGUUUUGUAUACUAUAGCGAGCCUUUAAAAAUACAAUAAUCUCAAAUCUUUUAGAAGGCAUUUAAGUCCUAAUAAUCAUCGAAUUCUAGUCAAUAUGCAGUUUAGUCAUGGUUUAUUGUAUUGUGCUUUAUUUUAGAGAAAUAAAAGAUAUUAUUAAUAAAGAGAAACACUGGCUACAAUACAUCUAGAAUAAUUAUAGGUGAAAACAAGGGAAAAUUUAAUGAGCAGUCUUAAGAACAAAGAGUGAAGACUUGAUGUUUACAAGGGCUGAACUCCAUGGUGCGUUUUCAUCAGAUCCGACGCGAUGAGAGGAAGAGAAUGCGAGGAGACGGAUGCAUCGAAUAUAAGGUAAAAGAAACCUUGUCGCUGUGUGCAUCCGACACAACAUGACUGUCAGAUGCAAACACGGCACGUUCCGUCUUCAUCUGACAGUCGUGUCAGAUGCACACAGCGAAAAGGUCCGACAUUUCUAUUACUUACCUUAUACACAUCUUUCUCCUUGCAUCCUCUUCCUCUCAUUGCGUCGGUUCUGAUGAAGACGUACCGCGGAUUGUGUAAUUAUAGGAACAGUAGGGGCAGAUUUAUCAAGGGUCGAAUUUCGAGGGGUUAAAUCCCUUGAAAUUCGACUGGGGAAUAGAAUCGAAUAGGGAAUUCGAGCAAAUUCACGUGCUGGCGAAUA